UUUCAAAGCUCAGAAACCCUUUCGAUUUGAAGCUCAAAAACCCCCACUCUCACUGAUUUGAAAUGCUCACUCUUGCUCGAUUUCAAACAAUCUUUCUCGCUCGAUUUCAAACAUUUUCUCUCACUCGAUUUCAAACACUCUCGAUCGAUUUCAGAUCUGUCGAUUUCAAAACCUACCACAGAUUUGAACUUCACCAGAUUUGUACUUAUCUUCUGAUUUUGGUUCUCCUCUCUUUGGAUUUUAUCUCGCUCAAUCGGUCUCUUUUUUUUGUUGUAGAACUCAGAUCUAUAACCCAAAAAAGACCGAACACUUGCUUGCACUUGAUGGAGCUAAGGAGAGACUUCAUUUGUUUCAAGCAGACUUACUGGAAGAAGGAUCAUUUGAUCCAAUAGUAGAUGGAUGUGAAGGUGUUUUUCACACAGCAUCUCCUGUUCAUUUUUCAGUGAGUGACCCAAAGGAAUGUAUUGUAUUACUUUAU